rnacentral:rRNA from 1 species
AUACAGGACGACGGCAGAGAUGUCGUUUCCCUUGUGGCUUGUAUACAGGUGGUGCAUGGUUGUCGUCAGCUCGUGUCGUGAGAUGUUGGGUUAAGUCCCGCAACGAGCGCAACCCUUGUCUCAUGUUGCCAGCAAUUCGGUUGGGGACUCGUGAGAGACUGCCGGGGUCAACUCGGAGGAAGGUGGGGAUGACGUCAAAUCAUCAUGCCCC